rnacentral:rRNA from 1 species
GAUGAACGCUGGCGGCGUGCCUAAUACAUGCAAGUCGAGCGAACAGACGAGGAGCUUGCUCCUCUGACGUUAGCGGCGGACGGGUGAGUAACACGUGGAUAACCUACCUAUAAGACUGGGAUAACUUUGGGAAACCGGAGCUAAUACCGGAUAAUAUAUUGAACCGCAUGGUUCAAUAGUGAAAGACGGUUUCGCUGUCACUUAUAGAUGGAUCCGCGCCGCAUUAGCUAGUUGGUAAGGUAACGGCUUACCAAGGCGACGAUGCGUAGCCGACCUGAGAGGGUGAUCGGCCACACUGGAACUGAGACACGGUCCAGACUCCUACGGGAGGCAGCAGUAGGGAAUCUUCCGCAAUGGGCGAAAGCCUGACGGAGCAACGCCGCGUGAGUGAUGAAGGUCUUCGGAUCGUAAAACUCUGUUAUUAGGGAAGAACAAAUGUGUAAGUAACUAUGCACGUCUUGACGGUACCUAAUCAGAAAGCCACGGCUAACUACGUG